CAAGGACAGAGCUUCAUACUUGGCCACUCGCAGCAGCCUGAGCUUUGACCCACACCCCAUCGACCAACUGGCACAGAACUGUUUGCUCGUAGAGGGGGGUGGGUGGCACUCUGAAGGCUAUCCAGCACGAUCCGGCCCUUUCCCUUGGCAAUUCUGUGACACUUUCCAAUCUAAGGCCGACAGAGCAAGGCAACCAGAUUUUUUUCUACAGCACCCUCCCAGGUGAGCAGUGGGCCUGGAGCCCUUCUGUAACCUGGCAUCUGUAGGUCUUCUCAUUAAGAACGAGAGUCAGAAGAGGAAAGGACUUAACACUCAUUACAACUCAGUCAUGGGGCUCUGAAGCGUCCCGAGGUCCCCUCUUUCCCACCCUACCUGUCGGCUGCGCGGCUCCACCACUUGCCAAACUAGGAGGAUUAAGUCGGUCUCGUCCGAGCCUAGGUCCGGCCCCAGCGCACCGGCAGUGGCCCCGAACAAAACCACCAGCGACUGAGCAGGCACUCUGAGUCCUCCGCAAAAGAAUGUGCAGGAUCAGAGGCCUCUUUCCAUUCUGCAAGGGUCACGCAAGACCCAUGGAAUUCAACAGGAGGCAAUCUAGGGACUAUAAAAGGUCGCGACGUCUGGCUUGAGGUUAAUGGAAGUUACAAAGGGUCAAAAGCCGACAGUGAGCGCUACCAGGUGUCGGGUCGGCGUAGUGCCGGCAGUGCAAGGCGCACGUUACUGUGGACCUGAAGGCUCAGGCCUUGGUGCCAAGGCCGCCCUGUGGGCUCAGGAUAGUUUCCCACCUACUCGACUGUAAUUAGUACUCUGGCGAGAGUAAAAAGGUACUGGCGUGGGACUUAGAAUACAGGAUGCCACCGGCUGAAGAAGAACCUUGUGUGUUUGGAAAAGCGGGCUGCUUCCUAUCGGUCUUGGAUAAAAGGCAACCCAGAGCCCGGGUGCAUCCCUAACUCAUGCCCAAGGAAGGUCGUGCGGAGCCAGAGGACCUAGAAUGUAUAGUGCGCCUUCUGGGUUUGUCCACACAAUAGCGCAGGAACACAGCGACCCAAUAUAGUGAGAAGUGGCCGCAGCGCACACCCUGAGACCCUUCACCAGGCGGCCCACCCGGAGCCUGCCUACUCAGCCCCGCUACCACGAUAAGCCUGGAAUGUCAAAUAUUUGUUCUAGGAACCCAGUGAAACCUUGAGGUAAAGCCCCUCCCCUCCUCCCUCCCAUUCCGGAGCGCGCCUGCGUCAGUCCAGGCUUUCCGGUAAGGACACUCCCUUCCAACUAGUUCCUUCUCGACACCCCUGCAACCCAUCGUCCUGACUAUUUAAACUUCACAAGGUCUUCGCUACAGGCUCAGGUUCAGUGAGGCAGAGUCUUGGCUUCCCUACCCAGUUAUCCCAGAGCUACUGGUAUCGGUUUCUACCCACAACCUCCGAGCAAGGCUCCCCUUUCAACCUGUAGACCUCGCCUCCCGAUUCUCGGGAGAUCUUGCUGACUGUGGAAUCCCUGGCUGUUCCGAACCCCCUGGAAAGAAGCGGCUGUUCCCAGGUUUCUGCAAGGUAACGAAUCUGAAGAGUCAACAGAAUUGAGCGGCUCCAUUCAUUCGACUCUGGUUCUCUCAACCAGGCAUUCCCCAUAUUAAAACAAUUCCAGAACUUCAAA
rnacentral:lncRNA from 1 species